AUUGAACGCUGGCGGCAUGCCUUACACAUGCAAGUCGAACGGUAACAGGUCUUCGGAUGCUGACGAGUGGCGAACGGGUGAGUAAUACAUCGGAACGUGCCUAGUAGUGGGGGAUAACUACUCGAAAGAGUGGCUAAUACCGCAUGAGAUCUACGGAUGAAAGCAGGGGAUCGCAAGACCUUGUGCUACUAGAGCGGCCGAUGGCAGAUUAGGUAGUUGGUGGGAUAAAAGCUUACCAAGCCGACGAUCUGUAGCUGGUCUGAGAGGACGAUCAGCCAAACUGGGACUGAGAGACGGCCCAGACGCCUACGGGAGGCAGCAGUGGGGAAUUUUGGACAAUGGGCGCAAGCCUGAUCCAGCAAUGCCGCGUGCAGGAAGAAGGCCUUCGGGUUGUAAACUGCUUUUGUACGGAACGAAAAGGUUUGGGUUAAUACCCUGGGCCGAUGACGGUACCGUAAGAAUAAGCACCGGCUAACUACGUGCCAGCCGCCGCAGUAAAAC
rnacentral:rRNA from 1 species